rnacentral:rRNA from 1 species
AGUGAACGCUGGCGGUAGGCCUAACACAUGCAAGUCGAACGGCAGCACAGUAAGAGCUUGCUCUUACGGGUGGCGAGUGGCGGACGGGUGAGGAAUACAUCGGAAUCUACUUUUUCGUGGGGGAUAACGUAGGGAAACUUACGCUAAUACCGCAUACGACCUACGGGUGAAAGCAGGGGAUCUUCGGACCUUGCGCGAUUGAAUGAGCCGAUGUCGGAUUAGCUAGUUGGCGGGGUAAAGGCCCACCAAGGCGACGAUCCGUAGCUGGUCUGAGAGGAUGAUAAGCCACACUGGAACUGAGACACGGUCCAGACUCCUACGGGAGGAAGCAGUGGGGAAUAUUGGACAAGGGGCGCAAGCCUGAUCAAGCAAUACCGCGUGGGGGAAGAAGGCCUUCGGGUUGUAAAGCCCUUUUGUUGGGAAAGAAAAGCAGAAGGUUAAUACCCCGCUGUUCUGACGGUACCAAAAGAAUAAGCACCGGCUAACUUCGUG